AUUGAACGCUGGCGGCAGGCCUAACACAUGCAAGUCGAGCGGAGCGGCGGACGGGUGAGUAAUGCCUAGGAAUCUGCCUGGUAGUGGGGGAUAACGUCCGGAAACGGGAGCUAAUACCGCAUACUAUCAGAUGAGCCUAGGUCGGAUUAGCUAGUUGGUGGGGUAAAGGCCUACCAAGGCGACGAUCCGUAACUGGUCUGAGAGGAAGAUCAGUCAAACUGGAACUGAGAAACGGGCCAGACUCCUACGGGAGGGAACAGGGGGGAAUAUUUGACAAUUGAGGAAAGUCUGACGGAGCAACGCCGCGGGAUUGAUGACGGCCUUCGGGUUGUAAAGCUCUGUUAAUCGGGACGCGGUACCGGAAUAGAAAGCCACGGCUAACUACGUGCCAGCCGCCGCGGUAAUAC
rnacentral:rRNA from 1 species